ACGGCAAAGGCUGGGCUCACGCGUCUCCCCCUCUCUCUCCCCGAAGUAUCAGAAGGUCUGAAAAGAGAGAAAGCCAGAAAAAGGAAAAGUGUAAAAUCUCUGUCUCCUCUUGAGGACUUAUUUUGAUGCCUUGUGUCUUUAAUGCCACAUGAGAAGUAAAGGAGGAGAGCAGGGGACUGCAUGCCUAGCAGAACGGAAAGAACAGCACAGCAACACCGGACCGACUGGAGGCUCCUCCGCUAUAGCUCACUCCGAGGACUCUCUCCUCUCCUCCUCUCUUCAUGACAAGGUUCAAUAAGACACAGGUGGCCACAUUCAAUGGACCUGCAGAGGGAAAAAACAUUGUUUUUUAUUUACUUACUGAAGACAUGGUGCAACCAAGUUCGGGCGUUAUUAACGGUCUCUCUAGUCUUCUUUUUAAAAAAUGACACAAAAUGGGUUGGAUGUGUCUGCAUUGGAAUGAGCUAGAACCCUAAAAACCCUAGAACCCAAUCCAAAGCACCGCAGCCUCACGUCACAUCUCGCCAUGCGUUUUAACCAAUUGAAAAACUCACGUCUUUGCGUUGAAACAUAUAGGUUUAAACAUACAGUUUGUGGAUAAUGUAGAUAUAUAUUAAGAAUAUGUAUUUUUGUAUGCACAAUCCUGCUCAGUUUCAGUAGAGGACAGACAGUAGGGAAAAUGGACAUGGAACUAUGAAUUUGUUUUAGUUGUUGGUUUGGAACGGUCUGUAGUAAUAAUUUAGCUUCGUGUGCACGUAGCACAGCAUUUGCAAGAAGUUCACUUGAGGAUAGGGUUUUGGUUUUGGGAGGAUGCCAACUUUUACGACUGCGUGCCUCUACCUCGUUCCCCUCUUCUCUACUCUGGUUGCAUUUGUCUGUAAUGAAUUAUAUUUAAAAAUGUAUUUAUAUAUGUAAUUAUAUAUGUAAUUAUUAUAUUUUAAGUUGUGUUUUAGAAUUAUAAAUUACUUUAACCAUGCUUUCUUUAAACACAUUUCAAAUAAUAAAUUAAGCCAUUUUAAGAUGGCACGUUUGAAUAUUUUUUUAACUUAGAUAUUUUUUAAGGAAUGCUUUCUUACACAGGUGUGUAUAAGAACUUUACAACAAUACCAUUAAAAAAAACAUGUCCUAGUACUACAGAAAAAAAGCUUGGAGGGAGGACAGGGAGGUAAAUGUAAUUAUUCCUUCUUUAGUAUAUUUGAAGGGAUUUCUUAACCCUAUUGUUAAUAAUUACGAUAUGCUAUGGAAUGCUAUGUAUCUGAAUCAGCAUUAACUCUUAGAAUCUUUAGAUAAAAUCACAAUAGAUUAAAUGGUUAAUAAAGUUUAAAGUAAAUAUCCAACCUGUUAGUCAAAGCUAUGUUCCUGGUUUUGAAAUGCUACAAAUCCACAUAACUCACUACAGUGGAUGGUGAAGGAGAGAAUGAUCAGAGUAGGAAGUUAACUAACACGUCAGUAAAUGUGGCUUAGCUAUCGACACGUGAAUACCGAUUCAAUCAUUCGGUCCUAUUCAAGGAAAUGUUCAUUAAAAUGGCGGACGCUGCCAUGUCAUUGGCAGGCUUCAUUCGGAAUGUUAACAUAUUGUGAUACAUUCAAAACUUAACCUUGCUUAAUAAAAUGUAUUCCCGUACUACACAUUUAGUAAAAAGUGAACUACAACGACUCCAGGAAAAAUCUUCACACAUUUAGUUUCUGUCUUUUAACCCUUAAAUUGACAAGCUGGUUAUACAUUUGUAAGGAAGUAUUUGGAAUAAGAAACUCAUAAUUCAACAGAAAAAAUUAAGCACAAUCAAUAUGAAAAUUGCUAUGUGGUCUUAGAUAACUUAAAAUCUAUGACAAAACAACUAAAAUAGUAUCCAACAAUUUCAUAUGUAGUUGCUGUACAGAUGAAUAAAUACAUUCAAUGUUAUGUAUAAUGUAUAUCACUAGUAUAUAUGGUAAAAACAGAUCAUGCAAAUAUAAUGUUCUCCAACUGGUCCUACAGAAAAUUAUUACUUUUGUUAGUAUGCAUGUUGGAUCUUAUCAUGGUAAACAAAAAAUAUGUAAUACAUCAAAUGUUUAUUUUGCGAUAAUAAGAAUUCCUGAUCAUGCAAAAUGUAGGUUGUGGAUUCUCACUUCUUGCUUUUCUCAUGUGUUAUGAGUAAUUAACUAAAUAAAAGGGUCGGCCAAGGGAAGAUCAAACUAAAUGCAACACAUUAUCUUUGCAAAAGAACGACAAGAUAGAUCUAUGUACAACACUACAUCUUUAUUUUCUGCACAGGGGGCAUAAUCAUGGCAUUCUCUGAUUUAUCUCAUUGAAAUGUCUUUUUUUUCUGCCUCACUUUAAAACGUUUUGUGCUCUAUCAUUUUUAUACAUAAGUUGGAGUCACAGAGUAACAGUCACAAGGUCUCUGUAUUUUCAAAGCUGUCAUACCUAACACUUGGUCGAGGACACAUGAUUAGGAGCCUGUUUGCUUGUCUUUAGUGUCUAGAAACACAGGAAACAGCCAGGAAAGGAAGGCUGAGGAAUAUGAAAUCGCAGUGGGCAGUAGCGCCGCAUAGGCAAACAUGAUCUACACUCCUUUACCCAUUAACCACCAACAGGAGUACAAGCCAGAUUUCUGACUGUGCAGGAAACUGCAUUGCAUCAGGAUACCAGGCAAAUACAGCUGACACAUCAGACAGAAACAAUUGAUAUUCUAUAGCAGGGUUCCAAAACAGGUCGCCUGCGGGCCAACUUCGGCCUUCGGGUGAUUUGAUUUUUCUGAUAAAAAAUAAUACAAAUAAUAAUACAAAAUAAAAACGAUAUAAUUUUCAUUGUUGGACAUAAAAGACUGUAAAAUCACCAGGACAUCAGCUUAAAGUGAUUUUAAUUGAGAAAAUCUGUUCCCAAGUCUUCCCACGCAUAAACAGAGGCAUACAGUAUGUGAUCGUAUCCCAAUGUUAUCUAGGUUUGAAAUUAUUCUGUUUUUGUCAAAUACUAUGUCUGUUUGGGAUUAUUGCGGUCAAUUUGCAGUCUACAAAUUAUUUGUAACCAUGUUCCCCGCCCCCUGACCAUCCACUCAAGGAAGAAUUGGCCUGUGACUGAAUGUAUUAGGGAGCCUGUUUUAAAGGAAGCUAAUCAGGAGGAUAGCACCAACCCACAAGGCUGGAUGGCCCUACGUACGCAGGGAUGAAAGACUUGGACUCCCUCUCUAGGAACAGGGGCCGAGUGAGUCUAUGAGGUGGUCUUGCUUCAACCCGGCACGUGUCUAAACAACUUCUCUAUUACACCUGACCUCUGAGGGCACUCCCCAUCGAGCAGGGAACAAAGGCCAUGACCCUGGGGUUAAAAGUGUUAUACGGGAGGCCCAAUGAGGAACCCAGUGCUGUUUGCUUUAAGAAGGUAAAGAUGACUAACACAUUAACUAAUGCUGAAUAGGGGAUUAUCCCCGAGGGACGUCACUCACAGGGUCUACACAUCACGUCUUAUUAACACCCCUGACCUCUGGCCCGUCACCUCAGGCAGCUGACUGCGACCGCCACUCUCCCUCUCUGUCUAUGUGUAAGAAUAACACGCACACACACGCACGCACGCACGCACGCACGCACACACACACACACACACACACACACACACACACACACACACACACACACACACACACACACACACACACACACACACACACACACACACACACACACACACACACACUACAA